AACCAGCUUGGGCCUUAUGAUGGUAGCCCAAGGGCGGAUAGCUGAAGGAAAUGAAGAAUGGAGGAUCAAUUGUUCUCCUUCUCUUUCACGCUUAGCCAAAAACGGAACCAACAAACCAAGUCUCAUACAGAGACCCUGGUCGCGCCAGUUUCAUCACCGGCGGCAGCGUGCUACACGGUGAAGCAACACAUAUCGUCUCCUCCGCCUAUAUCUUUCCUCUCAAAGCAAUAAGCACAACCAACCGUUAAAGGAACUCACAUUAUGGAUCGGUCACGACGCACACAUCAAUCACCAAAUCAGAAGAGGUAAUCACCUUGAACAAGCUCAGCAAAACCCUAGGUCACGCAUUGAGUUAUGAAAUACGCACGUCUGAGAAUUUCCGGAAUGAUGAUUGUUUGUAUCCGGCGAGAAGCUUAAGGGGUGGUUAUGGUGCUGACGACGAACGAUCCAAACUCAGCGGAAGAAAACCGGAGCUUCAAUGCUAAUCCUGCUCUUAUACAGAGCUUGCAUAUUGGAAUUCGGUUCACGUAUCUGUAUGAGUUUCACGGAAUUGGAACAAGGUGGUGAAGGUGGAGAUUGAAGAGGAAGAGAAAUAAGGAUACGCAAGUGAGAGGGGAGAGGAAAAUUCUAGAAAAAGUCCCUGAAGCCACCACUUUCACUCCCUCUAUUGUGUCUUUAUAGCAUUGUGAAAUGCAGAAAUUGGAUGCGUUUUGAAUUGGUGUUGCUCCACAUUUCAAUUGCAACUCUGCGUUUUGCUUGUCGUCGCUUAUACCGUUAUUGCUGCGUUUUGUAAUGGAUGCUUGUGCGGGAUUUAUGUUUUGCACUGUCGUUUACUUGCGUUUAACUGCGUCACGUUUUGGAGUAGCAGCUUGCGUAUCGCCGUUUUGGACUGUUGAUUUGGCGUCGUUUUGAGUUGUUUUCGUAUAUGUAGCUUUGAUUCGCGUUAUUCUUGGUUGCGGUUGCGUUUUGGCUCAUUUUUCGUUUGCAGCUGAUGGUGACUUGUGCGUUUGGCUUUGCAGCUUUUGUGGCUUACACUUCCAUGCUGCCGUUUUGGCUCUGGCACUGCGUUUGCCACAACUUUUUGCAUCUAAUAGGGAUUAAAUGAUUUAUUAAAGUUGGACAUGGACAAUGGUUAAAUGAAUUGGUUAAUGAUAAAUUAGAUUUUUGGUUUGAA